ensembl:lncRNA
CUCCGGUCAUGUGACGCAGACGGUUCACCUCACAAGACCAGGGUCAACCAGGGCUACCAGCAUGAACGACGGCGCUUCAGACCCAUGUAGCGAGGACCCGAUGCCAGGUCCAGUGGACAGACUUCAGACGUCUCUGUGUGUCCGGUCCUGUCUCUGGUUGCCUGGUUACAGAUGCUGCUGCACCCGCACGUUUAAAAAUGUCUACACCUGAAACUCCACCACGUCUAAAGAAGCAAAAACGUUUGCAAAUGUACAGACUGGAGUGGGAAGAGUGGAACCCCUGGCAAUGGAUACAAGGCAAACUGUGUUUUCUGUUGCUCAUGGACUGGCUGAAGUAAGGCAGCAUCAGGAGACAAACAUGGAGGAAAUAUGAGAACAGAGAGAACCCAACCAGCAGGUCACAGUUUAUCAUCAUCUAAUCAUCUCCUGAAGUCCAUAUGACAUCCACCAACCACUGGAACACAUCUCCAAAGUUCUGCCGGGCCAGCUCAGCUUCCCCUCAGAAGAAGUUCCACCAGAUGAAGGAGCCUUUUGAGAGGCAGCUGGCAUCGUGAUUGGACUGUACUUUGGUCUGUUCCAAUCCAGCUUCAGCUCCAGAGACGGCAGGCGGGACGAGUCAACGGAGGCCGGGUGGACGAAGGCAUGAAGCUGAACCAAAGAACUACAGACUCUUCACAACCUGCUCAAACUCUUGGUACAGGACCUCACCACACGGGUCAAGAAGGUUUCC